rnacentral:rRNA from 1 species
UGGGGAAUAUUGCACAAUGGGCGCAAGCCUGAUGCAGCGACGCCGCGUGAGGGAUGACGGCCUUCGGGUUGUAAACCUCUUUCAGCAGGGACGAAGCGCGAGUGACGGUACCUGCAGAAGAAGCACCGGCCAACUACGUGCCAGCAGCCGCGGUAAUACGUAGGGUGCGAGCGUCGUCCGGAAUUACUGGGCGUAAAGAGCUCGUAGGCGGUUUGUCGCGUCGUCUGUGAAAUUCUGCAGCUUAACUGCAGGCGUGCAGGCGAUACGGGCAGACUUGAGUACUACAGGGGAGACUGGAAUUCCUGGUGUAGCGGUAAAAUGCGCAGAUAUCAGGAGGAACACCGGUGGCGAAGGCGGGUCUCUGGGUAGUAACUGACGCUGAGGAGCGAAAGCGUGGGUAGCGAACAGGAUUAGAUACCCUGGUAGUCCACGCCGUAAACGGUGGGUACUAGGUGUGGGUUCCAUUUCACGGGAUCCGUGCCGUAGCUAACGCAUUAAGUACCCCGCCUGGGGAGUACGGCCGCAAGGCUAAAACUCAAAGGAAUUGAC